rnacentral:rRNA from 1 species
UACGUAGGAGGCAAGCGUUGUCCGGAAUCAUUGGGCGUAAAGGGCGCGUAGGUGGCCUGGUCAGCGUGCGGUGAAAGCUCGGGGCUCAACCCCGAGUCGGCCGUGCGAACUGCUGGGCUUGAGCACUGUAGAGGCAGGCGGAAUUCCGGGUGUAGCGGUGGAAUGCGUAGAGAUCCGGAAGAACACCGGUGGCGAAGGCGGCCUGCUGGGCAGUAGCUGACACUGAGGCGCGACAGCGUGGGGAGCAAACAGG